rnacentral:lncRNA from 1 species
GAAAUCACACGCGACGUCAUUGCCACGAAUCUAUCUAGUUCUUCGAUUGAGCCCUAUCUUACAAUACGUCUCCUCUUCUUCUGCCUCUAAUGCACCCUGAUCAAUCGCUUCUUUUGUCUCUAAUGCACCCUGAUCAAUCACUUUAUCAAGAUAGAUACUGCAGCCCUCGAACCAUGAGAUCUAUCGAGCAAUUUCUGCAACAAAUUAAGUAGAGUUUACCCAGAAUCCCAACCCGUAUGUUUCUCCCCUCUCCUGUAAAUCUCCACAACAAUAAGUAUAACAGUCAAUAUAUAUGGACACAGCUGCAUGAGGGCAAAUCAAGGAAAAACAGAAAAACACAUCAAUCAGGUUGCUUGUUCAAUAUACACACCUUCACAAACAUUAUCUUCUCCUUUUCAUAUUUUCUUUCUAGCACAUAAUAAGCACCAUCAUCCAUAUUUCAAAGUCCUGAUUGUUAAUUUUGCAUGUGUGUGUGGCAAUCUGGAUUCAGCAAAAGCUCUGAAUCCUUUCCUGGGAAUCUUAGUGUUAUCAUAGAUUCUUCCCUGCUAAAGAAUACUUGUUGGAAAUAAGAAACACAAGAGGUUUUAUAUGCUAAUAAUAAUAUGCUACAGAAAUACAAAAACCAGAAAUGAGAUGACCAAAAAAAAUGAGCUUGUAGUAUAAAUACCAACUGCAACUACCAACUACAAACGCCUUGUCCCAGCUUAUCAGGAAAUCAUCUUCUCAAGCGUAUAGUACAAAAACCAAAUACUUUGUAGAAGCAUAUAUAUGCACCCCCCCCCCUAUAUUUUAAUAUAAAUGCACCGUAAUUUUACGCCCCGCAAAUUUUAUUUUAUUUAAUACGUAAAAUAAUGAUGGUAAGAAAAUAUAUAAUGGCCAUAAAAAUAUUUUAUGUUACGUAAAAUCACAAACGUAAAAACAUAGUGUAUAAUAUGCACAAAAUGCUAUUUUCCUGGUCUUAUGACCUAUAUAUUUGUUUUCUUAUGCCAAAUUUUACGCAGUGAAUCAAUAUGAAUAUAACUAUUUAUAUUGCAAAUAUAAUUUAUUUAUAGAAGGAUCGUAAAAUUACCUUGGAUAAAGAAUAACUUAAGAGAGAGAGAAAGGCUCAAUGGCAAUGGGCAUAUGUGCAGUAGAGCCGUAACCUUAAAUAUUGUUGCCAUGCUUAUCUGCACUAAAAAGGAUAAAGAGUGACCCUGACCCAUGUGCAUUGAGGGGUACACCAAAGUUAGUCAUAUGCCUAAGCUUGGUUUGUGGAAAAGGAAAAAAACAAUUAUUUAUUGUAGGAACGGGGGAGAGAGGAGUACCUCCAGCACAAGUGUUUUGUGCGUGGCGGCUGUCUCAGGAACGGGAGAUGGCUGGGAGCCUCCUUUUAGGUUAGUCCCACUACAUGGGCCUGGGCCCUAAGAGAUAACUUGUAUGGGCUGGGCCAUACCAGUUCAACACUUCCCCUCAAGAUGGGUGGUAGAUAUCUAUCAUUCCCAUCUUGUCACAUGCCAAGUUACAAUCCUUUCUUCCCAGACCCUUUGUCAAACAAUCUGCAAACUGCUGCCCAGAACUGACAUGAGUAAGGCUGAUGACCCCGGCAUCAAGCUUCUCCUUAAUGAAGAACCGAUCAAUUUCCACAUGCUUUGUCCUAUCAUGUUGAACUGGGUUAUUAGCGAUGGCUAUAGCUGACUGAUUGUCACACCACACCUUCAAGGGCCCCUUCCUCAGAAGUUUCAACUCGCUCAGUAGGUACUUCACCCAGAGCAUCUCACACAACCCUUGAGAUAAUGCUCUAUACUCAGCUUCUGCUGUUGAUCUAGACACAACCGGCUGUUUCUUGCUUCUCCAUGAUACCAAAUUUCCUCCCACAAACACGCAGUAACCAGAAGUUGAUCUUCUAUCAUCUUGACAACUGGCCCAGUCAGAGUCACUAUAGCCAUCCACCUCAAGAUGUCCACUCUUCCCAAACCACAACCCUUUACCCGGAGUCCCCUUCAAGUAUCUCAGGAUUCUGUGCACAAUAUCAAGAUGCCCACUCCUUGGUUCAUGCAUGUAUCUGCUCACCACCCCCGUAGCAUACGUAAUGUCAGGCCUGGUAUGACACAAGUACAACAACCUUCCAACCAGUUUCUGAUACUCUUCCUUAUUCACUAGCUCUCCUGAUUGUGCUGUCACUUGGUGAUUUUUUUCAAUCGGAGUAGGGGCAGUACGACAUCCCAUCAUGCCCACGUCACUCAAGAGAUCCAAGGUGUAUUUUCGUUGGCACAAAGAGAUUCCCUUCUCUGUCCGAGCCACUUCAAUGCCAAGAAAGUAUUUUAGGUUACCCAAAUCCUUUACCUCAAACUCCUUGCUCAAACAACCCUUCAAUCUCUCUAUUUCCUCCUCAUCAUCUCCAUCUCCAGUGAUGAUAAUGUCAUCCACAUAAACAGCAAGAAUGGUGAUCUUCCGAUCAGAGUGCUUGUAGAACAUCGUGUGGUCACCGUUACACUGACCAUACCCCAUACCACGGACAGCACGUCUGAACCUAUCAAACCAGGCCCUUGGUGAUUGCUUCAGUCCAUACAAGGAUUUCUUCAGCCUGCAUACCUUCCCCGUAGUCUCUGAAGUACCAAAACCUGGUGGUAUUUCCAUGUAGACUUCUUCUUGCAACUCACCAUGCAAGAGGGCAUUUUUGACAUCUAAUUGAUGCAACUUCCACCCAAAGUUUGCAGCACAGGAGACCAAUAUCCUUACUGUGUUCAUCUUUGCCACGGGAGCAAACGUCUCAUCAUAGUCAAUUCCAUAAGUUUGACUAUAUCCUCUGGCGACCAAUCUGGCCUUAUACCGUUCCACCUUCCCUUCAGGAUUCUGCUUCACUACAUAGAUCCACUUACAACUCACUGCUUUCUUUUCUGUCGGCAAUGUGGUUAGCACCCAUGUCUUGUUUUUCCUUAGUGCUUCCAACUCUUCUAUCAUCGCUUCACGCCACCUCGGAUCUUGCUUUGCAGCCUUCCAAUCCUUUGGAAUUGACACAGUUUGAAGGGAGGCAACAAACGCCUUAUAUGUGGGUGACAAAGCCUUAUAAGACACAAAAUUGCCAAUAUCAAGAUCAUCACAAGCAUCAUCCUUCGGUAGAGCCUUCCUUGCUACUUCACCCUUUCUUGCCGCUUCACGUGUAGCCUUUCGCAAUGCAAUGGGCAGCUCCACUGUGUCAGAUGAGCUCGUCUCACUAUCUUGCUGCUCCCCCUGCACUCUUGCCUCACUGUCUUGCUGCUCCCCUUGCACGUGUGGUUGCCGUCGAGAGUACACUAGGGUGUUCGUCUGCCAUCGAUCCCGAACAGGAACCCGAAGAGCACCAAUCUUAAGUGUAUCGACGGUUGGCUCGACAGGAACCUGCACAUCAUCAUCAGUGAGAGUACUAACCGGAAUUGUUCCCACUGUUGGUUGGACCUGAACUUGCACAUCAUUAGCAGUGUUAUUGCCCACAGAAUCACCCUGAGUAUGAGACACAUCCUUCUCCCCCUCUUGACCAUCGUGCACAUGAUGUAGGUGGUCAAGCUCUGCAAAUAGCAGACUGAGAUCAGUCGGCGUACCAUAGAAUGGCUCGGACUGCCUGAAGAUAACAUCCAUACUCACGAACCUGCGUUUUUCAGAGGGAGACCAACAUUUAUACCCCUGCUGACUAGAAGAGUAUCCCAGGAAGACACACUUCACUGCCCGAGGAUCAAGCUUUCCAACAUAUGGUCGGUGAUCACGAACAAAGCAAGUACUGCCAAACAACUUUGGGGAAACAACAAACUUAUUAUCUCCAAUGAGCAACUCAGACGGAGAUUUCAUACCUAAUAUCCUGGAAGGUGUCCGGUUGAUCAGGUACGUGGCUGUCAUAACUGCUUCAUCCCAUAAGAACUUAGGCACAUUCAUGGUAAACAUUAAUGACCGAGCAACCUCAAGAAUAUGACGAUUCUUCCUUUCGGCCACUCCAUUCUAAGGUGGGGUGUCCGGACAUGAAGUUUGAUGAAGAAUCCCUUGGUUAGCCAUGAAAUCCCCAAAAAUAUUGUUCACAUACUCUGUACCAUUGUCAGUCCUGAGCACGUUGACCUGCACCUGAAACUGGUUCUUUACAAGAGCAUGGAAGUUCUGAAAACAGCUAAACACCUCAUCCUUGUGACGCAUCAAGUAAAUCCAAGUCAUACGAGAAUAGCAGUCAAUAAAGGUAACAAGAUACUUCUUUCCAUUCAUUGACACUACUGGGCUAGUCCAUACAUCCGAAUGAAUGAGCAUAAAAGAAGAUAUGCUCCUAAGCCCCUUACUCACAUAUGAGGCUCGUGUGUGUUUUGCAUAUUCGCAAGCAUCACAUGUCAACUUGCCAUUGCCUAUUCCACACAUAACAUCCGGAAAGAUUCUACUCAUCUUAUCAAAAGAUACAUGACCCAUUCUACAAUGAUGGAUCAUCGUCUGCUUCUCCUUGUCCUCCAUGGUCGCAGCACACACCAAGUUCGGUUGCACCUCCUGGUCCAUGUACCAGAGCCCCCUACGCCUGGUGCCAGUCUCAACCGUCUGGCUCGUCUAUCCCUCCUGAAUCAAGCAACCGAACUUGUCAAGGAUCACACGACAGUCUAUUUGAUCAAUGAGAGCACUGAAAGAGACCAAAUUGACAGGAAAAGUUGGCACAUGCAAAACUGACGAUAAUGAGAUGGUUGAAGUGCAUGUGACUGUGCCAACCCCUACGACAGGCUGAUUAAUACCAUCGGCAGUUUGUACAGUGCCCUUGUGAGUAGGAGCAUGCUUAUGGUAAGACUCAAACACACACGAAUUACCCGCAACAUGCUUAGAUGCUCCAAAGUCUAAGACCCACUCUAAAGCACUCUCAUUAGGAGGAAGACAUGCCUUCAUCGAAUUACCUUCAUCAGUGGAGGCCCAGUGAGCAAAGUCUCCAUAGGCCGCCUCAUCAACUCCCUUGCCCUGUGACGUCCCAGUGUCCUCUUCAACUACCAUAUGCGCCCUGCCCCCUAAGUUUCCUGAGUAGCCACCUCUGCCCCUAGAAAGUUGACCCCCUGAGUUCCAUGGGUAUCCACCUCUGCCUCGAGCAUACCUUCCUCUGCCAGUGCCCCCUCUGUUGUAUCCCCUGCCUCUACCACGAGUUGGACAUUCCCUCUUCCAAUGACCUACCUCCCCACAAAUAUGACAUUUGUUGGGAUCUCCCCACUCCAUGCGCUCAGUGACUGCAAAUGUCGAAGCUGGCACAAACUUCACGUUUGCAUGCGCAAGAGAUAGCCUCACCUCCUCUUGAGACAUUGCUGCAAUAGUCUCCUCAAUAGUUGGCAGGAGAGGUUGGUGCAACAGGGAAGCCCCCCUGCCAUGAAAGCAACCUCUGAGGCCUUCCAACAGUUUCAGCACGCGCCUGCGUGCAAUCCACUUGCGCCCUGACUCGAUGCACGCCGCAUCAUAGAGUUCCAGAGGAUCACAGUUAUCCUGCUCUGCCCACAAAGCCUGCAGCUCUGCUACAUAUGUCAUCACUGACAUGUCAUCGCCUUGGCGCAGCCGACUGAUCUUCCCCUCAAUCUGAGCAAUUAGCAUGAAAUUACCCUUGCCUGAGUAUUGGGUGGAUAGAGUCUUCCAUAUCUCGGCGGACGUGGAUAGUCCCUCCACAGAGCGACCAAUGGAGGGCACCACUGAGUUCAACAACCAGCCAACAAGCACAGAGUUUAUGACCUUCCACCGCUUUCCCUCCGCGGUAGUCUUGUCUCCGGGUUCAUCAACCGCACCCAAUAAGUGCCCAUCAAGUUCCUUCUGUUCCACAGCCAGCAAUGCCCUUCUGGACCAGCUCAAAUAAUUUGUGGCCCCCUCUAGCUUCAUGUCCAGGGGUGACAUUUCGAGCUUCUGAGCCACUUCCUGUCGAGGAACGAUGGCCCCAGAGUUGGAGUUGGACUCCGUGAGGAUCUUAGCGAGCUUCUCGAAAGCCUCAGCAAGCGCAUUUGGUUCAGCCAUCUCCGAUCCGGUAAACAGCAGCAGCAGCCCUCAGCAGCACAGCCCUACAGCUGCACGGUUGGUCCCUUUACACCCCCUGGCUAGCAGCAGCACCCAGCAACUCAGCAGCUCCAAGUGCAAGCAGCAACCACAGCCUCUUCCUCCAGCAGCAGUUCUCUCCCUUCUUCCUCUGCAAACAGCAGCAGUUCUCUUCCUCCUUCCUCUGCAAACAACAGCAGUUCUCUUCCUCCUUCCUCUGCAAACAGCAGCAGUUUCAGAGGAUCUUGGCCUCCAACAGCAGCCAACCCCCGCAGCAGUUCUCCAGCUCCCGGUCCCUGCAGACACACGCACACACACCAGCACAACAAGGAGCUGCCCUUCUCCACUACCCUUCUCCUCUUCUCCUCCCGCAGCACCACAGCCCGUUGGAGACCAAGCCGCUCCUCAGCUUCCUCCUCCUGCCGCGCAACACAGCAGCUCCACCUCUCCUUCUUCCUCUGCCGUGCAGCACAGCCUCCACCUCUCCUUCCUCUCCAACGAGCCGCACCUCCUGCGCAGCCACGCCACGCCUCCCAGAUCCGCCGCUGCCUCGCCGGACGCCGCCCAGAUCCAACGCCACCUCGCCGGACGUCGCCGUCGUCUUCUCAGGCCCCGCCGUCGCUGGCUCUGAUACCAUGUAGGAACGGGGGGAGAGAGGAGUACGGGAGGGAGAGAGGAGUACCUCCAGCACAAGUGUUUUGUGUGUGGCGGCUGUCUCAGGAACGGGAGAUGGCUAGGAGCCUCCUUUUAGGUUAGUCCCACUACAUGGGCCUGGGCCCUAAGAGAUAACUUGUAUGGGCUGGGCCAUACCGGUUCAACAUUUAUGUGCCUAACACACCAGCAAAUCAAAUGCAGCCUCCACUACAUGUCAAUAGUUCCAUGAAAAAAACAAAAAAAACUAAUACGAUAUUUAAUUGUAAGCAUACAACAAAUAGUACCACUCUAAAUCUGGUGUCGCCAUUCCUCAAAACAGAAAUUUUCAACCUUUCUUUUUUUUUAAAUUACAAUAAAGAGUAUCAAUGUUUAAGUUUCUAAGAAAAAAAGGAGAAGAAAAGUUUAGAACCAUGGGUUCAAUAUGAGAUUAGAACUACAGCCACCAUGCGAGUAGCCGAGGAUAGGGAAAUGUUGACAAUAUUAGAGCAUGUUUACGUCAGGAUAAAAUGUUGUCAAAAUUAUUCAUCUAGUUCAAUUAAGUUCUAUGAUGUAUAAAGUAUGUACUUGGCAAGAAAAAUACAAGGGGUUACCUGGAUAUAUGAUGCUGCAGUACACAUAUAUUUAUCUAACUAAAAUUAAGCCCACCACUUCCCGCUCUCAUAUUACUUCAGAAUCAUCAGUAUGAGAAAACAUUGAUACCCAUUACUUUAUACUGAUAAACUCCAUGCUCCGAGACAAGGUUGCACACGUCAUCGCCGACAAUUCCCUUCUCUUCUCGAAUCAACAUAUAACCAUGUUUUUAUCUUACAAGAGAAGGGAAUCCUCGCAAUCUGCUAGAUACAACAAGGUACUUUUGUAUGACGUGCCUGAGCCAUCAAUUUGCCGGUCCUUUUCUUCCUGAAACCAACAGAGACAACACCGACUGAUUUUCCAGCACGCAAUAGCUUCCCCUCAACUUCUAUUUCUUCCUGUAAAAAUAAAAGAAAUAGUUUACGGCAUGUCAAAUAACUAUUAAAAUAACAUAAGAGUGAAAAGACAAAGGUAUGUACAAAAUUAAUCAAGCCUUAUGAUGCUAUUCUAGCAAGAAACUGGCCAAAUCUGCCCUUUGGGGGGUAGGGGUGGGGGCAAAAAUUAUGAGAAAAGAUAACGCCCAUAUGUGUGGGUGUUUGCAAACCGUCCACACGCAUGAAUCUGCGUCUGUUUGUGCUUUGCAUUAAUCUUGGUAUUUUUUGAUAGUUUUUCUGUACCACGUAGGACUGAACUGGUGUGUCGGUAUUUAACCACUUCGCCCACACGGCCGUUUCUUUCUCAGCAGGAAUCUUUUUUGGUUUUCGGUUUAAAAAUGUUUUAUCAUGACAACUUCAGUGUAACAUCAUGACAACUGUUGAAGCACCCAUUUUUUUAAAUGUAACAUCAUGGCAACUGUUGUAACAUCAUGAAAUUUUUUUAAAUGUAGAAGAAAAAAUAGGUGAAACAUAUCAUGGCAACUUCAGUGUAAACACCAUGGCAUGGCAACUACAGUGUAACAUCAUGGCAACUGUUGUCCAAAAAAAUAAUUUAUCGAAAUAUAUUGAUAUGAGAUCUAGUUUCGAAGAUCUCGUCGCGAUGGAUUUAAUGAUAAAAACGGAUCUUCAAUCGGAUUUUUCAUUUACAAGAUAAAACAUUUUAAAAACUCAAAAUCCAAAAAGAUACCCACAUGCAUACAUGUGGUUUGGGCGUUAGCUAUUUUGCCCACACUCAGGCGUGUGAGCUAUUUCUCUUACACACCACACAAGAUGUAUGGGCAACACCCCUUAACACCCAGACGUGUGGGUGUUAUCAGGACCCAAAAUUAUAACCAAGCAACCUGAAAAGUACGUUUGGAUUUUUCAGAGCAAUAUUUGGACAACAUGACAAUAACUAUGAUCCUGAACUAAUUCUAGGAACCUCUUCAGAGCAAUAUCUGAACAAGAUGACAAUAAUUCAGAUCCUAAACUUAUUCUAGGAAACAUUUUGUACCCAGCUCCAGUCUGUAUUGAGCGAGUCAAAGGAAACAAAAAAUGAAUAACACCGUGUAAAUGCAGGCGCACUGAAUUCAACCAUCUUUUCUAAUUAGUACACACUUAUAUUCCUAUAAUAUUAAAAUGACUGGACGGUAAGAAGUGGUGGACCUUUUAUCUUGCCAAUUGAGAAAUAUUCAGUCGAGUAACAGACAAAAAAGAUCUCCACAUUUGAUCUGAACCAAUGAGAAAAGAGGGUCGUGUAUUUAACAUAGGUUCUGAAGUACGAGAAGAAUGCUCACCAAUUUGUUUCAGAUUCGAACUGAAUGCAUAAUAUCUUAGAUCGCGCAACCUAAGGUAAUGCAAAGAAAUAAAAUCAUACUAUUUAGGCAAUCCAAAUAGGCAUUGUAUGUACAGAAAAAUCAAAGGCGAAAUAGCAAAACAUCCAUGAAACUAAGCCAGUCACAUGAUGAUCAUAUUAAUGUCCACCUACAGCGGCCAAGUUUAGAAACCCCAAACGAGUGAGCAGAUGAAGCCAAGAAAAAGAAACACACUGAAGGGGAUCGGGAGACAGGGCCACCUACAUCGACCAAGUUUAGAAACCCCAAACAUGUGAGCAGAUCAAGCCAAGAAAAAAAAACACGAAAGGAGAUCGGGAGACACGACGGAGACCUUGAGGCGGGAAAGAGAGAUGGAGCGGGGUCGGGCUGCUUCUUCCCCUUACCUCUGCCCUCCCCCAUCUUCCCCACAAACCCCACAGCUGCUGCGUUGCUAGGCAUGGAGGGAGAGAGGAGCAGCAAAAGCAAGGACGCGGCGAGGAGGCAAAAACAGGCGGCGGACCUCCUUCAUCUUCCUUCCCCGUACCCGCACCCCACCGUCACUGGAGCUGCUCUUUUCCGGCUCGGAUCCGUUGUCUAGGUGUGUUUAUUUAGACUAACAUAGAUACUAGUAACAUAGAUGCC